UACGAAGGGGGCGAGCGUUGUUCGGAUUUACUGGGCGUAAAGCGUGCGCAGGCGGUGAUGUAAGACAGGUGUGAAAUCCCCGGGCUUAACCUGGGAACUGCAUUUGUGACUGCAUCGCUGGAGUGCGGCAGAGGGGGAUGGAAUUCCGCGUGUAGCAGUGAAAUGCGUAGAUAUGCGGAGGAACACCGAUGGCGAAGGCAAUCCCCUGGGCCUGCACUGACGCUCAUGCACGAAAGCGUGGGGAGCAAACAGG
rnacentral:rRNA from 1 species